GCAGUCGUGGCCGAGUGGUUAAGACGAUGGACUAGAAAUCCAUUGGGGUCUCCCCGCACAGGUUCGAAUCCUGUCUCGACUGCG
rnacentral:tRNA from 1 species